AAUCCAUGCAUCGGACAUUUCUAAAGCAAUUUAUUAAAUCUUUCCCAAGCUUCAUACAAUGUCUCAUCAUCUGAUUGUCGAAAAUAUGUGAUGUCAUUUCUAAGCUU
rfam:Gossypium raimondii Chr10_contig_1015, whole genome shotgun sequence.